rnacentral:lncRNA from 1 species
AGCAUGCUGGGAUUGAUUUGUGAUGUCUGCCACGAAUAUAAGAUUGGCCAUUUGGGGCAUGAAUGCUAUUCAUGGAUUGGAUCUCCUAAGAGCCCGAAUUUCUGAGAAACCACUGAAGACCUGACCCCAGCGCUUAAUUAUUUCUCCUUUCCAAGCAUCUCUCAUGGAAGGCAUCUUGGAUGAAAAGACCUUUGGCAGCGUGGGUUUUGCAGGGACCGUCUGGUACCAGGAACUGGCCAAAUGUGAAGGUGUAAAACACAAAGUUCACACCCUGAAGAACCUUCUAGUCCAGUCGGGGAGAUGGACCCAGAAUGUCAGAUUAAGAUUGGCCUGCAUCAGCCCAAAUGGUUCCAUGUUCUUCUUUUUAAUGGCUGCAUAGUACUCCUUUGCAUGGAUGCACCACAGUUCAUUUAACCAGAGUCCUGUUGGCAGGCAUUUCAGAUGUUUGCAAUUUUUCUGUGAGACCAACACCACUGUGAUCAGCAUCCUGUUGCUGUGUGAAAAGUCCAGGCUAGCCUGCUGGAGGAUGAGUGAUGGGUGAAGCAGAGAUGAAUUUUCAGAGCUGGCUUCAUCUGAGACCAGCCAGCCCUAGCUGUGGAAGGCAGACACUUAGCAAACCCAGCCAAGAUCAGCCAAGCCCAUCCCAGGGCAGAAGAACCACCAAGCUGAUCCCAGUCCACAUCUACUUCUGGAAGCACGUGCUAAAUAAAUGGUUGCUGUUUUAAGCCACUGAGCUAUGGGAGGCUUUGUUUCCCAGCAAUAACUAAUUGAUAAAUCAUCAACAGUAAAAUGGAUAAAUGAAUUGUGGUACAGGCACAC